rnacentral:rRNA from 1 species
AACGAACGCUGGCGGCGCGUCUUAAACAUGCAAGUCGAACGGCAAAAGAGGGGCUUGCUUUUUGAGAGUGGCGGACUGGUGAGUAACACGUGGGUGACAUACCUUUUAGUUGGGGAUAGCUAUUAGAAAUAGUAGGUAAUACCGAAUGUGACCGUAUUUAUUAGAAGGAUACGAGGAAAGGAGCUAAGGCUUCGCUAAAAGAAUGGCUCGCGGCCCAUUAUGCUUGUUGGUGAGGUAACGGCCCACCAAGGCGAUGAUGGGUAUCCGGCCUGAGAGGGUGAACGGACACAUUGGGACUGAGAUACGGCCCAGACUUCUACGGGAGGCAGCAGUUAAGAAUAUUCCGCAAUGGACGAAAGUCUGACGGAGCGACGCCGCGUGGAUGAAGAAUGCCGAAAGGUUGUAAAAUCCUUUUAAGCCUGAUGAAUAAGCACAAUAGGGAAUGAUUGUGCGGUGACCGUAGGGCUUGAAUAAGCACCGGCUAAUUACGUGC